CACAGCUUCGGGAGCCCCAGGCCUUCAUAGCUCCAUUGUUUACACACAGGAUCAGCGUUAGCCUUGACCCACACACCCCUUUGCUACGCGGAGCGACCGGAGAUCCCCGCGGAGAUACGGAGAAGGUGGAGAGGCUGCAGAGCGAGUGUGAAGCAUCGACAGCGGAAAACACAGUACAAACCAUGUUGACCGUCUGUCAUCAUGGGGAACGUGAGAUCUCUCCCCAACAAGAUGGAAGAGCUAACGGCGCUAACCUGGCUGCAGAGGGAUUAUCGCGAGUCGAGCCUGAUGUGUUUACUGAAUGACGUGGCUGAAUGAACUCUGUCCCGACUCUCAUGUCAUUCUGGACAGCUUUCAGCUUGGACAGGAAAUCUGCAGAGAGUGUUAAGAAGAAAAGAUGCUGCUGUUGUUGUCAGAAGCCGCGUUAGCUCGUAUGGGCUAUGUCAAAUCAAUGCACCUCAGAAAGAAGUUUUGGGAAUGUUUUAAAUCAGCAAAAUACGGAGAGAUACUAACUGAGGCAAGUCAGUGGAUGGUGGCAUCUAUCAGAGAAGAAAGGCUGAAAAGCGGAAGGAGCCACAGCAGGGUGCAGUGGCUGCUGCGGCCUGCAGCAGGGGCUGUGAGAGUGCACUGGACUGGGCUCACAUGACAAUGACAGGAACCACAGUCAACAAAAAGUACUGUGCCAUGAGAGGAGAUCACAAGGAAAGGCAGAAACCACGAUAACAUUUCCAAUACCCUUCAAAUGUGAAGUUCUUUGAGAAACUUGACAAUCAAGUAUUAUACUGUAUAAUAUAAAAUAACUGCACUACAGUCGUGGAAAAAAUGAUUAGACCACCCUUUUUUCUUCAGUUUCUUGUUCAUUUUAUUGCCUGAUACAACUAAAGGUACCUUUGUUUGGACAAAUGUAACAGUGACAACAAAAAUAGCUCAUAAGAGUUACAUUUUUUGGCAGUACAAUGCUAUAUUAUCAAGAAAACCAAGUUGCUAGAUAUCAGCUCUGAAAUUAAACUCUUAUGAGCUAUAUUUGUUAUCAUCAUUAU